ACGCUCGACACCUACGGGAGGCAGCAGUGGGGAAUAUUGCACAAAUGGGGGAAACCCUGAUGCAGCGACGCCGCGUGGAGGAAGAAGGUCUUCGGAUUGUAAACUCCUGUUGUUGGGGAAAAAGAGGAUGGUACCCAACAAGGAAGUGACGGCUAACUACGUGCCAGCAGCCACGGUAAUCUGAGCGGGCUGGCAAGGC
rnacentral:rRNA from 1 species